CCGCGCCCGCGCGCUACGUGGUGGAACCCGCCCGGCGGGCGCAACAGGAGGCCGGCCCGCGGGGAACCGCGCGGCCCGCCGCGUCACGUGACGCUUCCUGCCAACAGGUCGCCCGAGGCGCGGCCCGCGCGGCCCGGGGGGGGGGGGGGGGGGCGGCCCGUUGCGCCCCUCUCUUCACCCCCAGGGCGAGGACGUGCUCGUGUCGUGAGGCUGACGCCGUGGGCUUGACAAAGAGCUGAAUAGUCUUCAGAGAAUUAAGAAGUUGAAACCACAACAUGGAAGACACCUUGGGUUCACAAGUGAGUGAUUGGAGAAGCGCUGCCUAGGAGAGCUAAAAGACCAGAACACCCAAAGAUUUAGAAUCGCCAUGGAGACAAUUUUCUGAGCAUGUCUGUGAGGAUUGUCUAGGAUUGGUUAAUUGAAGUGGGGAAGACUACCCUAAAUGUGAGCCAGGUUCCAUGGCCUAGGUUCUUUGCCUGAAUGAAAACGAGAAAGGGGGUUGUGCAGCAGCAUUCAUGCUCUGCUCCUUGACCUUGAUGGAAACAACCUGACCAGCUACCUCAAGUUCCUGUUACCAUUACAUUCCUGCAAUGAUAGACUGUAUGCUUGAACUGAGAGCCCAAAUAAACCCUUCUUUAAGUUGC